UUCCCAGGUCGUCCUCUCCAAACAACACAAACCCAUUUGGAUCGACGUUUUGUUUUGGACUGCAGCGGAUGAUCUUUGAGGUGAUGCAGAACAAUCACAUUGCGUCCGUAACUCUGUACGGCCCCGCAAGGCCCAGCGGCCAGUUGAAAACGGUGGAUCUCCCCCAGUGAGCAAUAUGGGCUAACCGAAAUGCUACCAAUUUAGUAGUACAGCGUGCCUUGAUUUGCUACCACUUAGAGUAUGGGAAAAGAAGCACGGUAUGGUUGGAUAUAUAUGUGUGUAUAUGUGUGUAUGUGUCUAUAUAUGUGUGUCUUCAAUACAAAAACCCUGUUUGUCCCCUCCCGGGCAUGGAGGAGAACAGGGGAUUCCUCUUGACGGUCCGUUGCAUGGGACGAGUGGCGGCUGUGAGCGGAUACGAGUGCCUGCCACACGACCGGCGUUUCUCUCCUUAGCUGCACAUGUCCUCUAUUCCAACAUGGGAGAUUUAGGACUGGUCUGGUUUAUUUCCCUGAGCCGGAAGAAGGCCGAGCUUAAAAGAAGAGGGCACACAAAUGACUGCACGACUUAGAAGCACAAACUCUCUGAGCCUUGGGGCGUCUGGGAGCAGGUCUUGGAUCUAAUUAUACAUGUUUAUGUAGAUAUAUAUUAUUUUUCCCCCCAGUCUGUGCUUGUGUUAUCUGCAAUGAUAAUGGUGGUCGAUUUUUUUAAAGGUAAAAUUGGGUGCGCUUAUGCACAUGCAGAAUUUAUACAUUGAUGUAUAUAUAUAUAUAUAAAGAAAUUAAGUACUUGGGUAUUUCUGUGGCUUAAGGACAUUGUACCAAAUAUGACACGUAUGUACAUAUAACAUGUCCGUGAUUUCAGGCACCACAUGUUUGCCUGACGUGGAAACUAGCGCAAAGCAGCAUGUGCGUCAGGCUCGGUUGUAACAUUUGUUUUGCACUACAUACACUUUAAUUACUUGAUAUAAGGCAUUUUAAUCCUUCACUGAAGAGCAUCGGUGUACUGGGUGUGCUGGUUUAUUUAAUUGUUCGCCAUGCGCAAAGCUUAUUUAUACCGUGGGGAAGGAAAACCCACCUUUUCUGCACUAAUAUUUACUUGACAUGCUGAAGCGACUCAUUUUCUGCCAUGCCUGGUUAACAUACUUGUGGUUUUAUACAUACACAGAGAGAUGUAGGUUUCCAAAAGGAAAAAUGGAAGUCAAUUGAAUUCCUAUAAAUUACGGUUUUGAUGCCAUUUCCCCCUACACACACAAACACACACUUUUUGUACUUUUGCCUCACUUUUGCAAUGGUUUCACGUAUAUCGGAUGAGUACUUCCCAUGUUCCUUUCUUAUAAAGGAGUCUUUGGUGUUGGAACACUUGGAGUACAGUUUUCAUAGCAUCGAUUCAACACCAAGAUAAUGUUGAAGGAAACGGCCUUGUCGUAAGGCAGGCCUGAAUGUCUUGGCAGGAAUGAGGGGCCGAAAUUAAAAUGGCCUCAACCUCUUUAGCACCUCGCUUCAGGUUUUCGAGAGGGCACCUUUCCUUCAAAUCGAGCCACAAAGCGGAUUUGCCUCAACUUCCUCAGCUUUCCCUCAAUGUUGUGGUGAGUUGUAGUUCUUUUCUGCGGGAAAGAAGUGCCUCAGCUCUUGCCUCCGCUGCUCUUUCUUUUUCUUUGCCUCUGGGUUGCCUCCUUCGUCUCCUCCUUCUGUGGAAGGAAUAAUCGCCGAUUUACCUCAUUUGUGAGGGAGAAACUUAGGACUUCAUCACACGCGAUAAGUAAAGCGUUGGGGAUUGUUGUUUUCCCCUAAUCGCCAAUUUCCCUCAUUUGUGAGGGAGAAACUUAGGACUUCAUCCCAUGCGAUAAAUAAAGCAUUGGGGAUCGUUGUUUUCCCCUAAUCGCCAAUUCCCCUCAUUUGUGAGGGAGAAACUUAGGACUUCAUCUCACAUGAUAAGUAAAGCGUUGGGGAUCGUUGUUUUUCCCUAAUCGCCAAUUUCCCUCAUUUGUGAGGGAGAAACUUAGGACUUCAUCCCACACGAUAAGUAAAGCGUUGGGGAUCGUUGUUUUUCCCUAAUCGCCAAUUUCCCUCAUUUGUGAGGGAGAAACUUAGGACUUCAUCCCACACGAAAAGUAAAACGUUGGGGAUCGUUGUUUUCCCCUAAUCGCCAAUUUCCCUCAUUUGUGAAGGAGAAACGUAGGACUUCAUCCCACCUGAUAAGUAAAGCGUUGGGGAUUGUUGUUUUUCCCUAAUCACCAAUUUCCCUCAUUUGUGAGGGAGAAACUUAGGACUUCAUCCCACACGAUAAGUAAAGCGUUGGGGAUCGUUGUUUUUCCCUAAUCGCCAAUUUCCCUCAUUUGUGAGGGAGAAACUUAGGACUUCAUCCCACACGAUAAGUAAAGCGUUGGGGAUCGUUGUUUUUCCCUAAUCACCAAUUUCCCUCAUUUGUGAGGGAGAAACUUAAGACUUCAUCCCAC